ACGGUUCCCUGUAGAGAUUUUUAUCAAAAUCAAGGUGUGGGAUUAUUUGAUUGUCUGCAUUUGGCCAGUGGGGGCCCCGUUAUGCUGGUUCCUGUGUCCUUAUAACAUGUCCCUAUCAUUCUUUGAGAACUUUACUUUCUGAUACAAAAGAUUCUCCAAGUCCAUUCUGUAUUUUCCCUACUCCACUCCUGGAGUCUGUUUUCUCUGAGACACCAUGGUUUCUUUUAGUGGGGAAUGCUAUUUUAAAAUCCAGAUUUGGGCCUUAGAUGAUUUGUUUUUUGUUUUUGGUUAUUUUUGGACAGAGAUUUGGACAGGUAGUGUUAUUGUGAUACGAAAACUACUAAAGUUCUGAUUUAAUAUCUACUUUGAAAACAAAACUGGUCUUGGCAGCUUUGAGGUGCUGUCUUCUGCAUUUGUACCUUGGUCUGUUGGCAUAGCUCACUUGUCCAUUGCAGGUGUCCUUUUGCAAGUCUUCUAGCCUUCGAGUUCAUGACAGCCAUUGAAGUUCGCCCUGUUCCUGGUGUGGACCCCUGUGCAAGGUGAAUGUUCCACUCUCGAGAGGUAGCGUGGAUCCUUCACUUCUCUGAACCCUGUUUUCCCUGAAACAUACCUCGGGUGACCACCAGACCUCAUUACAUAAGGUUGUUUUCUCCCACCUGGGUACAGCUUUUACCAGCUCCCUAAAUUACAUGGUUUUCCUGUUUGCACCUGGAGUGUACUUUUGUAGUACAUUUGUUAUUAUUUUUUUAAUUUUUAAUUUUUGUGGGUACAUAGUAGGUGUCUGUAUUUAUGGAGUACACGAGAUAUUUUGAUACAGGCAUAUAGUGUGUAAUAGUCAUGUCAGGGUAUGUAGUAGAUUUACUUAUACGCAUGGGUGUUGGUGUUGGAGGCUUCCUCAAGUAGAUAAACAGCUUUUGUUAUUUAUUCUGAAAGGAAUUUCAGCAACUCUGAAAAAGCUCUAAAACCUGGAUGGCUGCCACAGCACUGCUGGAGAGAAGUAGUAGGAAAGAAAAGCUGAAUCACAGGGAUGAUUAGAAAUUGGAGAUAAAUCCUAACUGCAGCUUAAAUGAAUAUUGUAUUGCCAUAUUCAUUGAUCAGCAAAAACAAUAGAGCUUUAUGUUUGUCCAGUGACUUAGGAAAUUGUGGCAAUUAUGUUAUACUCCACUGAUAAAAUUGAGGAUGUUACCAGCUUGAAUAUAAAUUAUUAAAGUGAGAGCAAACCAUUUUCAGUGUUCUGUAAAACAGAGUAAUACUGAUCUGCCUAGGUAAACUUUUUUCCCUAGGAGCUUCUGAUAAAAAAUUGUAGCAAAGGCAAAGAGUAGCAAUGAAAUGAUAGAGCAGAUGCUGGGAUUGAAAUGUGUUUCCUCUUUCAGUCUACUUUUAUAAAAGGGGUUUAUUUUUCAAUAAAAGAAGUUUGCAUUGGGGGAAGGGGACAAACAAUUAUUUUCAGUUUCUGUACUGAGUUAACUGUGAUUAACAUUUUGGGGUAUAGAUGAACAUUUUUUUUCUUUGGAUACACAUGGAAAUGUAUAUACUUUUAAAUGUUUUUCCCCUAACUGUGAUUAUACAACGUAUGCUCCUCUGUUUAUUUUUUAAGUUCUGUUUAUUUUUAUUUGGCAUUUAUUGAGCUUUUAUUAUCACGUGCUACUUUUAGGGAUACAUACAUCUUUGAAUAAAAUAUAAGGUUGGGAAAAAAAAAAAAAAAAGAUAAA
rnacentral:lncRNA from 1 species